CCUACGGGAGGCAGCAGUGAGGAAUAUUGGUCAAUGGGCGGAAGUCUGAACCAGCCAAGUAGCGUGCGGGAUGAAGGCCCUACGGGUCGUAAACCGCUUUUGCACGGGGAUAACACCCUCCACUUGUGGAGGUCUGCAGGUACCGUGCGAAUAAGGGCCGGCUAAUUCCGUGCCAGCAGCCGCGGUAAUACGGAAGGCCCGAGCGUUAUCCGGAUUCAUUGGGCUUAAAGGGAGCGUAGGCGGGCGUUCAAGUCAGCUGUAAAAUUGUGGGGCUCAACCGCGCCCCGCAGUGGGAACUGGAGACCUUGAGUUCACAACAGGCAGGCGGAAUUCGUGGUGUAGCGGUGAAAUGCAUAGAUAGCACGAGGAACCCCGAUUGCGAAGGCAGCCUGCCGCGGUGCGACUGACGCUGAGGCUCGAAGGUGCGGGUAUCAAACAGGAUUAGAUACCCUUGUAGUC
rnacentral:rRNA from 1 species